rnacentral:lncRNA from 1 species
CGCACACGCGCGCGCGCACACGCGCUCUUCAGCUGUAUGUUAUCUCAAAUAAUUACCCUGUGCUUCUGGCUGUCCCCAGUGACUUCUGCUGCUAAAAAAGCUACUCAUUGUCGGUGAGUGAAGAGGGAUUUCAAACCUGCUUCUUGUGGCCCAGCAACAGCUCUUAAUUAACCACUCAGGUAUUGAGCCGCCUCCUCGCCCGGCUCCCAUCCAUAUGGCAGGAACAUGUCCGCAGCGAUAAUCACUGAAGGAAAUAUCGUAUCAAAAAAAAGGGCUCGCCGAACAGAAAGCUUGCGCAAAUUAUUUUUAAUGAUUCUCCUCUAGCGAGCCGGAUUAUUUGUUAUUUCAAGCGGGGCCAGGGCAGGGGGCUGGGGGGGGGACGUGCCUGUCCUUGACCCUCUCGCCUGGCCGGAGCCUGCACCUCGGCACGGUACAAAGCCGGCGCCUGGGGUACGGGGAGGCCCUUCAGGCAGCGGGGAGGCUUCAGCUCCCUCUGAUUUUGAGAAGCCUUUGUUUCUGGUGGGCGACGCGCUUUUUCAUGGAUGUGCACGCUUCCUGCCAGCGAGCUUCUCGAAGCCCAGCGUGGAGCAGAGGAGCCGAGCCCCCCGCCUCUCACCCAGUGCAGCCUUUCAGCACGUGCCAGUCCUCGAGCCUACGCGCGGUCCUGUUGACACCGCAGCAACUCAGCACCUUGCACAUCUGAACCUUUCAGUCUCACCAUGCAACUGGAAGAAGAUCUCCACUCAGACUCCUUUUACAACCUCCUCUGUCACGUUUGGGUGGUGCAUCACUGUUUGGGACGUGGCCCUGGCAGGGAGCUCAGUGCUUUUCCUUUCCCCACAGAAGGAGUUCCUGUGUGGUGCUGGGAAGAAAUGAUGUAUGGAGCAGCCAUCUCAUUUCCAGCCUGUGAUCUCUGCGCUUGGCUUAGAAGUAAUGCCACCGCUGCCUCCGUGGCGCUGGAGAUGCCGGAGUUAUGAUCUUCCCACUCACGAGUCAACCUGGCUCCCUACGCUCCCCCUCUGCCUCAGGUUUUAAUGAGUCCUCGGCCUCCCUGUCCUGCUCCAACUCAAAUCCAGACCAUGAGAAGACUGCUGUAGGGGAAAAGCUGGAUUUUUUCCUGUCGACAUUCUUUGGGCCAAGGUCUUACCUGGUGCAUGAAGAGGGCGGAAGCAACAGCCUCACCUUCUCACAGGACUCUCUACCAUGCCAGCAAACUACUUCAAGGAGCUUAACUCAUUUCCAUGAUGGUGGUUUCAUCCUGGCUCGUUCCAGCCCCACCAGUGCCCAUCUGCCAGGAUUAUUGAUUCCUCCCUUCUGUAACUCUGUCGAGCCAGACAGUCCUGUGUCCUUCGUGCUUUCUGUGAAACCAUUUCCAGCAGGCACCUCUCAGCCUUAA